AACAGAAUAUUCGAGGUAGGUGCCCAAUUGGGCUUAAUAGGGAAGACCGGUGAAAAGCCGGCGCGGUCCCGCCACUGUAACGGGGAGCAAGUUUAAGUUAUGCCACUGGGAUGGAUUUCCUGGGAAGGUUUAAGCAAGCAAUGAUCCGAAGUCAGGAGAACUGCCUGUCUGACAAUCACCGU
rnacentral:ncRNA from 2 species